CCCGACUGCUAUCGGAAUGGGACUAAGCCAUGCGAGUCGUAUGUCCCUGGACUGCCAGGGGCAUGGCGAACGGCUCAGUAACACGUGGCCGACCUACCCUCAAGAUGCGGAUAACCCCGGGAAACUGGGACUAAUCCGCAAUAGGUCCAGAUUUCUGGAAUGAAUCUGGACCGAAAGGGUAACAUGAGCAUGUUUCAUGUUACCGCUUGAGGAUGGGGCUACGGCCGAUCAGGCUGUUGGUGGGGUAACGGCCCACCAAACCUUUGACCGGUACGGGCUUUGAGAGAAGGAGCCCGGAGAUGGACACUGAGACAAGGGUCCAGGCCCUAUGGGGCGCAGCAGGCGCGAAACCUCCACAAUGGGCGAAAGCCUGAUGGGGUCAUUCCGAGUGCCAUCCGCUAAGGAUGGCUUUUCCCAAGUCUAAACCGCUUGGGGAAUAAGGGGAGGGCAAGUCUGGUGUCAGCCGCCGCGGUAAUACCAGCUCCCCGAGUGGUCGGGACGGUUAUUUGGCCUAAAGCAUCCGUAGCCGGCCCUGUCCGUCUUCCGUUAAAUCUAACGGCCCAACCGUUAGGCUGCGGAAGAUACCACAGGGCUAGGGGGUGGGAGAGGUGGACGGUACUCCAAGGGUAGGGGUAAAAUCCUCUGAUCCUUGGAAGACCACCGGUGGCGAAGGCGGUCCACCAGAACGCGCCCGACGGUGAGGGAUGAAAGCUGGGGGAGCGAACCGGAUUAGAUACCCGGGUAGUCCCAGCCGUAAACGAUGCGAGCUAGGUGACAGAAUGGCCUAAGAGCCAUUCUGCUGCCGCAGGGAAGCCGUUAAGCUCGCCGCCUGGGGAGCACGGACGCAAGUCUGAAACUUAAAGGAAUUGGCGGGGGAGCACCACAAGGGGUGAAGCCUGCGGUUCAAUUGGAGUCAACGCCGGGAACCUCACCAGGGGAGACAGCAGGAUGAAGGUCAAGCUAAAGACUUUACCCGACGAGCUGAGAGGAGGUGCAUGGCCGUCGCCAGCUCGUGCCGUGAGGUGUCCUGUUAAGUCAGGCAACGAGCGAGACCCUCGCCGCUAGUUGCUGUCCUCUCCCGCAAGGGAGAGGAAGGUAGUUAGCGGGACUGCCGCCGUUCAAGGCGGAGGAAGGAGAGGGCUACGGCAGGUCAGUAUGCCCCGAAACCCCUGGGCCACACGCGGGCUGCAAUGGUAGGGACAGAGGGUGUCCAACUCCGAAAGGAGGAGGUAAACCCUAAACCCUACCCCAGUUGUGAUUGAGGGUUGCAACCCACCCUCAUGAAUAUGGAAUUCCUAGUAACCGCGUGUCACCAUCGCGCGGUGAAUACGUCCCUGCUCCUU
rnacentral:rRNA from 2 species